rnacentral:rRNA from 1 species
CCUACGGGAGGCAGCAGUGAGGAAUAUUGGUCAAUGGACGAGAGUCUGAACCAGCCAAGUAGCGUCAAGGAUGACUGCCCUAUGGGUUGUAAACUUCUUUUAUAUGGGAAUAAAAUGUUCCACGUGUGGGAUUUUGUAUGUACCAUAUGAAUAAGGAUCGGCUAACUCCGUGCCAGCAGCCGCGGUAAUACGGAGGAUCCGAGCGUUAUCCCGAUUUAUUGGGUUUAAAGGGAGCGUAGGUGGAUUGUUAAGUCAGUUGUGAAAGUUUGCGGCUCAACCGUAAAAUUGCAGUUGAAACUGGCAGUCUUGAGUACAGUAGAGGUGGGCGGAAUUCGUGGUGUAGCGGUGAAAUGCUUAGAUAUCACGAAGAACUCCGAUUGCGAAGGCAGUUCACUGGACUGCAACUGACACUGAGGCUCGAAAGUGUGGGUAUCAAACAGGAUUAGAUACCCCAGUAGUC